AGGAUGAACGCUGGCGGCGUGCUUAACACAUGCAAGUCGAACGGUGAACUUGGGAGCUUGCUCCCGGGGGACCAGUGGCGAACGGGUGAGUAACACGUGAGUAACCUGCCCUUGACUCUGGGAUAAGCACUGGAAGCGGUGUCUAAUACCGGAUACGAGCUUCAGCCGCAUGGCUAGGAGCUAGGAAAGAUUUCGGUACAAGGAUGGACUCGCGGCCUAUCAGGUAGUUGGUGAGGUAAAGGCUACACAAGCCGACGACGGUAGCCGGCCUGAGAGGGUGACCGGCCACACUGGACUGAGACACGGCCCA
rnacentral:rRNA from 1 species